rnacentral:rRNA from 1 species
UACGGAGGAUGCGAGCGUUAUCCGGAUUUACUGGGUUUAAAGGGUGCGCAGGCGGCACGGCAAGCCGGCGGUCAAAUCGCGGGGCUCAACCCCGCCCAGCCGUCGGAACUGCCGGGCUAGAGUGGGCGAGAAGUGCGCGGAAUGCGUGGUGUAGCGGUGAAAUGCAUAGAUAUCACGCAGAACUCCGAUUGCGAAGGCAGCGCACCGGCGCCCUACUGACGCUCAGGCACGAAAGCGUGGGUAUCGAACAGG